AAAGGUAAGAGUGUUUAACAGUGAUCCUGGAUUAAGAGGCCCCAGAGGUGGGGUUGAUUAAUUUUAAUAGAGAAAUGUGCUGAUUACAGAGGAGGGUAAGAGCUGUGAGCUGGAGUGAGGGAGGUCUGGGCCUGAUGGAAGGCAGGAUUUGGACAGAAGAAGAUGACUGGAGAGAGAUUGGUCACAAAAGGCACUGGAGAAGGUUAGAAGAGACCUCUGAAAUUCUUCUGCAUCUAGUUGUUGAAGACUCUCUGAAGCCCUAUGCUCACUGGAAGAUGAGAGCAUCCUUCCAUUUUGUUCUUAGAACGUUUGAUGAAGGGUGCUGGAGAAAGUCAAGGAUUCUCUCACACCUCAACAAGCACCGUCUCUCCUGAGAGGCCAUUUAGCCUAACACAACAGAGCAGCUAAGAGCUGAGUCCCUGGAAUCCAUACGACCUGAAUAUAAAGCCUUGUUCUGUCUCUUCCUA